rnacentral:ncRNA from 1 species
AAAACAAGUGCUAUGGUAAGUAGCCGACAUAUUUUGCUUUCCGAGUAGUGCCUCAGCCGAGGCACUUUUUUUUUGC